rnacentral:rRNA from 1 species
UACGGAGGGUGCAAGCGUUAUCCGGAUUUACUGGGUUUAAAGGGUGCGUAGGCGGGUCUUUAAGUCAGUGGUGAAAUCCUCCUGCUCAACGGGAGAACUGCCAUUGAUACUAUUGAUCUUGAAUUCAGUUGAGGUGGGCGGAAUGUGUCGUGUAGCGGUGAAAUGCUUAGAUAUGACACAGAACACUGAUUGCGAAGGCAGCUCGCUAAACUGACAUUGACGCUGAGGCACGAAAGCGUGGGGAUCAAACAGG